CAAUCUCCACUCUGAUCCCUCCUUGGGAGGAAUCUCCAGAGUCUGUCAUUUCAUCCAGAGUAGGGCCUAUGCCCUCCCACAAGAGUCCAGGCUGAGAGAGCAUUCCUCAUUGUGAGAUGGGGGAAAGGUACACUUUACCUCAGUGAACAAUGUAUGGUCUGCCUAGACAGUGAUGAGAAUAUUGUAGCUAGAUCUGAUGGCAAGUCUGUUGCAUUGAGAAAAACAUGAUGUUUGGCAGAUAGAGCCAUUGCAUGAUGUGUCUGUUCUCCAAAACAUUAUGGUACACAUAAUGGUACUGUAUCUGCCAGAUAGAAUGAAAUGAAAUGUGAUCAAAGAGUCAGGAACUAUAUUUUAGGUAUUUCCUGCCACCUAAAAAUGCUGACAGUAAUAUGCAAUGACAGAGAAUGUUAGAGCCCUUUAAUACCCUUUCUCAGGAAGUGAUUAUCUGGGAUUUGGACCAUGUCUUUUUAUAUUGGGGCUGAUUUUCUAGUUAUCUGGAGAACCAACAGUCCUCCCCUGCCCUGGAUGAAUAUGGAAGCCCUCCUUUUCCUGAGUCUGUCCCUAAAAACUGCACACUUGAUUCCAUAUGGAGUACAGAGUGCUGAUUUUUUCCUUUAUGAGACUCUCUUGUCUCAAGGCUGCAUCAUGGAUUUUGGCCUCUUCCUUCUAUAAACCUCAUUCCUGUAGGGUCACUAUUGUCAUCUGCCCUUAGUGAUGCAACCUCAGCCAAUAAUUGCCUCUUCCUAACUCCAUUUAGAGCCCUUCCUAUCUCAAGGUCCUCUGUGAAGAUAGUUUGGACUUUAUGCAUUGACACGGAGCAGUUCUUUUGUGUGGUGCAUAUAUUAUCUACUUGUGUAAAGGCAACAUGCUGAGUGUUUUACUAUCUCAGAUACUAUUAGUUCUCUUGAACUUUUCUGGUCUCUGUUGCUUUGUAUUCCACGAGGUCUCUUUGUCAUUUUUCCUGUUUGGUUUCUGUGUUUCUGGAACCACUUUCUGACACUCUUUGCUUAUUUCUGUGGUAUAAGACAUUUAAUCAUGCUUUUCUCUGGUACUAUCAGAAUUUCAAGUUUUCCCGGAGAGUGUUUGAAAUAAUGUUGUUAAAUUCUAACUUUAAUCUUGGUGGUCUGAUAAGAUACAUGGAGUUAUUCCAACUUUUUUGUACCUGUUGAGGUUUGAUAUGUUGCCAAGUAUGGGGUUGAAAUAAUUGGCAUUGAUUUUUGUAUAGGAAGAGACAGAUGGGUCUUAUGACACUCUUCUGCACAUGGACAAUUGUUUCCCUAGCACUGAAUGUUCAAAGGGUAUCUGAUGCUGCAACAACAAAUGGCACACUUACUGAAAGUAUAAGUAAGUGGGCCUGGCUAGUGAUGUAGUUCCCUGACUACGUCUGUAUACGUCUUUAGUCAUGCCUAAAGUGGGUGUGGUUAGCGGUGCGGUAAACUGCCCUUUUAUUACCUCAUCUGUAUGCGCCUCUAGUAAGUCACAUGGAUAAUGGCAGAGCACUAUUUUCUCCUACAGGUAUCUAACUUUCUGGGUUUGUCUUUGACAUAUUUGGCUUACAUUACCUUUCUGGUAUAUGUUUAUUUCUGGGUUCUCCGUGUCGUGCAAAGUACUACAUGGAUCUUCAUGUGCAGGAUCACUCUGUCCUUGUACUCAUGCUUACAUGUUGUGAUGUGUGGUCAGGUCCUGUGACAUCCUAGGAUUACUCUCUCUUAGGAUGAAUUUUGAUAGUUUUGAUUUUCUUGUGUCCACCUUACUCUUUCCAUUUCCAUGUUUGUGGAAAAUAACAGUAUUUUGCUUCUAUGGUUUGCAUUGAUUCUGCUGGUUGCUGUUAAUAUAACCAUUUACAUUAUGCUGUUUGUCAGUCAGUGUGCAUGGAAAUCUUUUCUUUGUGUUUAUGGAGCAGUUUUUUUUGUUCUGAGUGCCUUAAAAGUUUCCUCAUAGAAGUUAAUUCGUUAUUACUUAGCAUCAUUCCUAAGUCUUCUGGGAAGCAAUUUGAUAGGGUUAAAUUUCUAACUUCUCAAAUUGUCAUUAUUGGACACAUAGAGGAAGUAGUAACCCGUGUGUUUCUUUUUGUAUUUUUCAAUAAUACUUAAAGGACUUAUCAAGUCUAAGAUUUCCCCACGGUAUCUGUGUUGCAUUGUGUAUAUGACCCCAUAAUCACAUAAUAAUUUUAAUGGAGCUUGAAAUUUGGCUUUCCUCCUUUGUUCUUUGUAUCCUUUGUCUUAUUCAGAUAUGUCUAGCAAACGCUUAUGAGUCUUGAUUCAGUAAGGAAGAGAACACAAGCAUCUUCCUCACCUUGUAAGUUUUCUGGCCUUGCUGUUCAUUUUUUCUCUGUACUUGGCCUAGAUGUGACAUACAUGCGCUUUACUGCGUUCAUCCAUGCUCUAUUUCUUCCGAGUUCCUUUCGGAAUUUAUCUCCAGAUUUUGUUGAAUUUUGUGUUAUGAUGUUUAAAUUUUUCGGAGAUUUUCAUAUCACAGGGCCUCUUUUUAUUAUGUUUUCUUUCUUUUAUUAUUCUGGGUGGUUAAUUAUUGGUAGUAUUUUUCCCUCCACAUUGAAAUAGCAGGUUGCUGUGUUUUUGUGUUGGACACGGUUGCUACUCCUCCACUCUAUUCUAUUUGUCUAUUCUUUAGAUAUGUCUUUUUCCCAUGUUCUUGUUGAUAGUUUCUCCAAGUUUUCUAUGUAUAUUUUGUCUUUAAUUAUGAUCUGUAGUGCUGCUUGACUGCUUGACCUGUGUUAUUUCAUAACUUUAUUCAGGUGAACUUCCUUCUCCAUGAACUUUAAGAGUCUAUGCUUCUGGAUGCAAUGUUAAUGUUCAUAGUUAUUUUUGUUUUUCACUUAAAAUAUAUUCUUCCAUGCCUUCCUGCCUGUAUGGAUGUUGACAAGACCUUUAAUAUCACUCUGUGUUUUGGGUCUUUUUAUAUAGUUUGUUGUUGUUUGUAAGAAACUGUACUAAUUUUAGCUUCGUUUUCUUUUUCUUUGGAACCUUUUUGUGAGAUGCCAAGAAGAGUUCUGUGUCUGUUCCUGAGAAAGAAAUUCAGAGAAGAGCAAUAGGAAGAAUGGAAGAUUCUCCUGUAAAUGCACCCCAGGGUCUGUUGACAUUCUGGGAUGUGGCUGAGCUCUUCUCCAGGACAGCUUUGUACAUGGAUGUGAUGUUGGAGAACUACAGGAAGAUAAUCUUUGUAGGCAAGAAUAUUCUUCUUACAGGAUUCCUGACUCGUCCUUUAUAUUUACCCGCUUUGUACAUUUGUAAACUCCCGGAGUUGUUAGAGAAUCCUGGAAACAAGGGGGAUUCUGGAAAUAAACAUAUUUUUUUCAUGG